GGUCCGUUGGUCAAGGGGUUAAGACACCGCCUUUUCACGGCGGUAACACGGGUUCGAAUCCCAGGGUGCAUUU
rnacentral:tRNA from 1 species